CCAAAACCACCAAAAAAUGUCAUAGUAUAGUAAGGCAUGAAAAAUGGUCAAAAAAUGUCAUAGUAUAGUAAGGCAUGAAAAAUGGUCAAAAAAUGUCAUAGUAUAGUAAGGGGUCCAAAACCACCAAAAAAUGUCAUAGUAUAGUAAGGGGUCCAAAACCACCAAAAAAUGUCAUAGUAUAGUAAGGGCAUGAAAAAUGGUCAAAAAAUGUCAUAGUAUAGUAAGGGGUCCAAAACCACCAAAAAAUGUCAUAGUAUAGUAAGGCAUGAAAAAUGGUCAAAAAAUGUCAUAGUAUAGUAAGGGGUCCAAAACCACCAAAAAAUGUCAUAGUAUAGUAAGGCAUGAAAAAUGGUCACAAAAAAUGUCAUAGUAUAGUAAGGGGUCCAAAACCACCAAAAAAUGUCAUAGUAUAGUAAGGCAUGAAAAAUGGUCAAAAAAUGUCAUAGUAUA